rnacentral:rRNA from 1 species
UACGUAGGGUGCAAGCGUUAAUCGGAAUUACUGGGCGUAAAGGGCUCGUAGGCGGCCAACUAAGUCAGACGUGAAAUCCCCAGGCUCAACCUGGGAACUGCGUCUGAUACUGGAUGGCUUGAAUCCGGGAGAGGGAUGCAGAAUUCCAGGUGUAGCGGUGAAAUGCGUAGAUAUCUGGAGGAAUACCGGUGGCGAAGGCGGCAUCCUGGACCGGCAUUGACGCUGAGGAGCGAAAGCCAGGGGAGCAAACGGG